rnacentral:rRNA from 1 species
AUGAUCUUCGUUGUGGUUCUCAUCUCUGAAGAUCCUGUUUUUUUACCUCGUGUUAAGGGUGGUGGAGAGAGCCUGAACCAGCUUACCCAGCGGUGCGUCGCCUACCUAAACAAAAUCGCUCAGCAACACAUGGGGGAGCGGGUGAUCGUGGUCUCUCACGACGCGGCGACAGUGGAGCUCUGCCGGCACACUUAUCCCCCCGGCAGCUCGGUUCGCCGGAACGUCCCCAACACCUCGCUCAACGUCUUCCACGUCUCCGGUGUCAACGGGCAGUGGGUCCUCACGAGGUUCGGCGACGUCCGCCACCUCUUCUGCCUAAGAGCAUCUCCAACAGACGCGCGCAGGCGGCGUGUUAAAAGUUUUUUACUACGUCGAAAUAGCGGUUGA